rnacentral:rRNA from 1 species
UACGUAGGGGGCGAGCGUUGUCCGGAUUUAUUGGGCGUAAAGAGCUCGUAGGCGGCUUGGCAAGUCGGGUGUGAAACCUCCAGGCUCAACCUGGAGACGCCACUCGAUACUGCCAUGGCUAGAGUCCGGUAGGGGACCACGGAAUUCCUGGUGUAGCGGUGAAAUGCGCAGAUAUCAGGAGGAACACCGAUGGCGAAGGCAGGUCUCUGGGCCACUACUGACGCUGAGAAGCGAAAGCAUGGGGAGCGAACAGG